rnacentral:rRNA from 1 species
GAUGAACGCUAGCGGCAGGCUUAAUACAUGCAAGUCGAGGGGCAGCGCAGUGUAGCAAUACAUGGGCGGCGACCGGCAAACGGGUGCGGAACACGUACGCAACCUACCCAUAACUGAUGAAUAGCCCUCCGAAAGGAGGAUUAAUACAUCGUAACCUAGUGAAGUGGCAUCACUUUACUAGUAUAGCUCCGGCGGUUUUGGAUGGGCGUGCGCCUGAUUAGGUAGUUGGCGGGGUAACGGCCCACCAAGCCUGCGAUCAGUAACUGGUGUGAGAGCACGACCAGUCACUCGGGAACUGAGACACGGGCCCGACUCCUACGGGAGGCAGCAGUAAGGAAUAUUGGUCAAUGGACGCAAGUCUGAACCAGCCAUGCCGCGUGAAGGAUGAAGGUCCUCUGGAUUGUAAACUUCUUUUAUCUGGGACGAAACCCUCGUUUUCUAACGGGAUUGACGGUACCAGAGGAAUAAGCACCGGCUAACUCCGUGCCAGCCGCCGCGGUAAUAC